rnacentral:rRNA from 1 species
CAUGCAAGUCGAACGGAAAGGCCCUUCGGGGUGCUCGAGUGGCGAACGGGUGAGUAACACGUGGGUGAUCUGCCCUGCACUUUGGGAUAAGCCUGGGAAACUGGGUCUAAUACCGGAUAGGACUACGUACUGCAUGGUGUGUGGUGGAAAGCUUUUGCGGUGUGGGAUGGGCCCGCGGCCUAUCAGCUUGUUGGUGGGGUGAUGGCCUACCAAGGCGACGACGGGUAGCCGGCCUGAGAGGGUGUCCGGCCACACUGGGACUGAGAUACGGCCCAGACUCCUACGGGAGGCAGCAGUGGGGAAUAUUGCACAAUGGGCGCAAGCCUGAUGCAGCGACGCCGCGUGAGGGAUGACGGCCUUCGGGUUGUAAACCUCUUUCAGUAGGGACGAAGCGCGAGUGACGGUACCUAUAGAAGAAGCACCGGCCAACUACGUGCCAGCAGCCGCGGUAAUACGUAGGGUGCGAGCGUUGUCCGGAAUUACUGGGCGUAAAGAGCUCGUAGGUGGUUUGUCGCGUUGUUCGAGAAAACUCACA